rnacentral:rRNA from 1 species
UGGUCAAGUAACAAAGGGCACAUGGUGGAUGCCUUGGCGUCAGGAGGCGAUGAAGGGCGUAGGAGCCUGCGAUAAGCUUCGGGGAGCUGGCAAACAAGCGAUGAUCCGGAGAUUCCCGAAUGGGGCAACCCGGCUGUGGUCAUGCACAGUCACCGCUUCGGCGGAGCCAACGCGGGGAACUGAAACAUCUAAGUACCCGCAGGAAAGGAAAUCAAUCGAGACUCCCCUAGUAGUGGCGAGCGAACGGGGACCAGCCCAAACCAUCCCAGCUUGCUGGGAUGGGGUUGUAGGACCGUCACAACGGUACAGCAAAGGCUAGUGGAAGUAGCUGGGAAGCUACGGCAGAGAGGGUGACACCCCCGUACACGAAAGCUCGAGCUGGCCAGACGGAUUCCUGAGUACCGUGGGACACGUGAAAUCCCGCGGGAAUCUGGGAGGACCAUCUUCCAAGGCUAAGUACUACCUGACGACCGAUAGCGAACAAGUACCGUGAGGGAAAGGUGAAAAGUUCCCCGAGAGGGAAGUGAAAUAGACCCUGAAACCGUGUGCCUACAAACAGUGGGAGCCGCAAGGUGACCGCGUACCUUUUGCAUAAUGAGUCAGCGAGUUGUGUGUCGUAGCAAGGUUAAGCCGCGAGGUGUAGCCGUAGGGAAACCGAGUCUGAACAGGGCGUCGAGUUGCGGCAUGCAGACCCGAAACCAGGUGAGCUACCCAUGGCCAGGGUGAAGCGUUGGUAAAACUUCGUGGAGGCCCGAACCCACU